CCUACGGGAGGCAGCAGUGGGGAAUUUUGGACAAUGGGCGCAAGCCUGAUCCAGCAAUGCCGCGUGAGUGAAGAAGGCCUUCGGGUUGUAAAGCUCUUUUGUCAGGGAAGAAACGGUCUACUCUAAUACAGUGGGCUAAUGACGGUACCUGAAGAAUAAGCACCGGCUAACUACGUGCCAGCAGCCGCGGUAAUACGUAGGGUGCAAGCGUUAAUCGGAAUUACUGGGCGUAAAGCGUGCGCAGGCGGUUAUAUAAGUCAGAUGUGAAAUCCCCGGGCUCAACCUGGGAACUGCAUUUGAGACUGUAUGGCUAGAGUGUGUCAGAGGGGGGUAGAAUUCCACGUGUAGCAGUGAAAUGCGUAGAUAUGUGGAGGAAUACCGAUGGCGAAGGCAGCCCCCUGGGAUAACACUGACGCUCAUGCACGAAAGCGUGGGGAGCAAACAGGAUUAGAUACCCUGGUAGUCCACGCCCUAAACGAUGUCUACUAGUUGUCGGGACUUAAUUGUCUUGGUAACGCAGCUAACGCGUGAAGUAGACCGCCUGGGGAAGUCGGUCGCAAGNUUAAACGUUAAUGAAUUGNGNGNGAGAGNGCGAGNGNAGAGGAG
rnacentral:rRNA from 1 species